AGCCAUAGUACGUUCGCGAAUAACACGAACGAACAUUUAAACGACGAGUUUCUGCUCCGUUUCGUAGCGAGCUCGACACUUUCACCGCGAGCAGAGAACCGUAAAACGAUGACGUGGAUCCUUUUGCAAAGCUCCGUCGAGUUUCGUCGUUUCGAUCGUUCAUGUUACACCUGUGAGAACGUGGAUAUACGAAAAUUCAUAGGGGAAAAAAGGAAAAAAUAGAACCAAGGAAAAGAAAAAAAAAAAAAAAAGAAAAGAAAAGAGAAAAAGAAAAUUAUAAAAACGAUUGGCGAAAUGAAUUUUUAAUCGCAAAUAUAUCUGCGUGUGUGCGCAUUCGUGCGUGUGGUGUAUCAAUUAAAAAAAAAAAACCUUGAAUUCAUUCAUGAGAAUCGUAAGAGCUUCCUUAAAAUAAAUUAAAUAGAUAGAUAGAUAGAUGGAUUUUCGAAACAGCUGAUCGACAAUGAAUAGUUCAUCUAUAAAUAAAUCUUUCAUAGGUUUAUAUUUUGGUAUAUACAGGAUAUAUAUAUAUAUACGUAAAUGUAUAUACGUAACAAUGGUUGCUUAGUCACACGACCGGGUUCUUUAAUGACGACAUUGAUGAUGAUGAUGACGACGAUGAUAAUGGUGAUACGCGCUCGUACGACUCGCAUCGAUUAUCAAAUCAAGUGGAUUAGUGCAUAACACAAAGUGCACAUGUUUUUCUAUGAACAUCUUUUCGCAGAACCGAACUAACAUAAUAAUAGCUAUUCUUUUUUCUUUUUGUACGCUUAUUAAAAUAAUUGGAAUUGUUUUUUCCUUUUUUCCUUCUUA